rnacentral:rRNA from 1 species
AGCAGCCCAGAGCCUGAAUCAGUAUGUGUGUUAGUGGAAGCGUCUGGAAAGGCGCGCGAUACAGGGUGACAGCCCCGUACACAAAAAUGCACAUAUUGUGAGCUCGAUGAGUAGGGCGGGACACGUGGUAUCCUGUCUGAAUAUGGGGGGACCAUCCUCCAAGGCUAAAUACUCCUGACUGACCGAUAGUGAACCAGUACCGUGAGGGAAAGGCGAAAAGAACCCCGGCGAGGGGAGUGAAAAAGAACCUGAAACCGUGUACGUACAAGCAGUGGGAGCACGCUUAGGCGUGUGACUGCGUACCUUUUGUAUAAUGGGUCAGCGACUUAUAUUCUGUAGCAAGGUUAACCGAAUAGGGGAGCCGAAGGGAAACCGAGUCUUAACUGGGCGUUAAGUUGCAGGGUAUAGACCCGAAACCCGGUGAUCUAGCCAUGGGCAGGUUGAAGGUUGGGUAACACUAACUGGAGGACCGAACCGACUAAUGUUGAAAAAUUAGCGGAUGACUUGUGGCUGGGGGUGAAAGGCCAAUCAAACCGGGAGAUAGCUGGUUCUCCCCGAAAGCUAUUUAGGUAGCGCCUCGUGAAUUCAUCUCCGGGGGUAGAGCACUGUUUCGGCAAGGGGGUCAUCCCGACUUACCAACCCGAUGCAAACUGCGAAUACCGGAGAAUGUUAUCACGGGAGACACACGGCGGGUGCUAACGUCCGUCGUGAAGAGGGAAACAACCCAGACCGCCAGCUAAGGUCCCAAAGUCAUGGUUAAGUGGGAAACGAUGUGGGAAGGCCCAGACAGCCAGGAUGUUGGCUUAGAAGCAGCCAUCAUUUAAAGAAAGCGUAAUAGCUCACUGGUCGAGUCGGCCUGCGCGGAAGAUGUAACGGGGCUAAACCAUG